AUACUUACCUGGCGUAGGGGUUACCGUGAUCACGAAGGCGGUUCCCUCGGGGCAAAGCUUGACCAUUGCACAUUCGGUUGAGUAGAACCCUGCGAUUAUUCCUAAUGUGAAUAACUCGUGCGUGGAAUUUUUGGGUGUCGGGAUGGCAUACGCGCCGACCCGGU
rnacentral:snRNA from 12 species